rnacentral:rRNA from 1 species
GAUGAACGCUGGCGGCGUGCCUAAUACAUGCAAGUCGAGCGAACGGACGAGAAGCUUGCUUCUCUGAUGUUAGCGGCGGACGGGUGAGUAACACGUGGAUAACCUACCUAUAAGACUGGGAUAACUUCGGGAAACCGGAGCUAAUACCGGAUGAUAUUUUGAACCGCAUGGUUCAAAAGUGAAAGACGGUCUUGCUGUCACUUAUAGAUGGAUCCGCGCUGCAUUAGCUAGUUGGUAAGGUAACGGCUUACCAAGGCAACGAUGCAUAGCCGACCUGAGAGAGUGAUCGGCCGCACUGGAACGGGAACACGGACCAUACUACUACGGGAGGCACCAGUAGGGAAUCUUCCGCAAUGGUCGAAAGCCUGACGGAGCAACGCCGCGUGAGUGAUGAAGGUCUUCGGAUCGUAAAACUCUGUUAUUAGGUAAAAACAUAUGUGUAAGUAACUGUGCACAUCUUGACGGUAACUAAUCAGAAAGCCACGGCUAACUACGUG